rnacentral:rRNA from 1 species
GACGAACGCUGGCGGCGUGCUUAACACAUGCAAGUCGAACGGAAAGGCCCUGCUUUUGUGGGGUGCUCGAGUGGCGAACGGGUGAGUAACACGUGAGUAACCUGCCCUUGACUUUGGGAUAACUUCAGGAAACUGGGGCUAAUACCGGAUAGGAGCUCCUGCUGCAUGGUGGUGGUUGGAAAGUUUCGGCGGUUGGGGAUGGACUCGCGGCUUAUCAGCUUGUUGGUGGGGUAGUGGCUUACCAAGGCUUUGACGGGUAGCCGGCCUGAGAGGGUUACCGGCCACAUUGGGCCUGCGAUACGGCCCAGAAUCCUACGGGAGGCAGCAGUGGGGAAUAUUGCACAAUGGGGGGAAGCCUGAUGCAGCAACGCCGCGUGCGGGAUGACGGCCUUCGGGUUGUAAACCGCUUUCGCCUGUGACGAAGCGUGAGUGACGGUAAUGGGUAAAGAAGCACCGGCUAACUACGUG